GACGGAGGGUGCGAGCGUUAUCCGGAAUUACUGGGUUUAAAGGGUGCGUAGGCGGCUUUGUAAGUCAGGAGUGAAAGUUUGCGGCUCAACCGUAAAAUUGCUUUUGAUACUGCAGAGCUAGAAUCAGGAUGAGGUUAGCGGAAUGUGGCAUGUAGCGGUGAAAUGCAUAGAUAUGCCAUAGAACACCAAUUGCGAAGGCAGCUGGCUAGACCUGCAUUGACGCUGAGGCACGAAAGCGUGGGGAGCGAACAGG
rnacentral:rRNA from 1 species